rnacentral:tRNA from 1 species
GGUCGGGUGGUGUAGUUGGUUAUCACAUCUCGUUAACAGCUUUCAUAGCUGUAACAACAAACCGAGAAGGUCCUGGGAUCGAGCCCCAGCCUGAUCA